UACGUAGGGUGCAAGCGUUUAAUCGGAAUUACUGGGCGUAAAGCGCACGUAGGCGGCUUUGUAAGUUAGAGGUGAAAGCCCAGGGCUUAACCCUGGAAUUGCCUUUAAGACUGCAUCGCUAGAAUCGUGGAGAGGUGAGUGGAAUUCCGAGUGUAGAGGUGAAAUUCGUAGAUAUUCGGAAGAACACCAGUGGCGAAGGCGACUCACUGGACACGUAUUGACGCUGAGGUGCGAAAGCGUGGGGAGCAAACAGG
rnacentral:rRNA from 1 species